rnacentral:rRNA from 1 species
UACGGGGGGGGCAAGCGUUGUUCGGAAUUACUGGGCGUAAAGGGCGCGUAGGCGGCUCGCUAAGUCGGAUGUGAAAACUCUGGGCUCAACCCAGAGCCUGCAUUCGAAACUGACGAGCUCGAGUUCUGGAGGGGAAAGCGGAAUUCCUGGUGUAGCGGUGAAAUGCGUAGAUAUCAGGAGGAACACUGGUGGCGAAGGCGGCUUUCUGGACAGAAACUGACGCUGAUGCGCGAAAGCUAGGGGAGCAAACAGG